rfam:Tncultured Thiohalocapsa sp. PB-PSB1 scaffold_1716, whole genome shotgun sequence.
GGCUACGUAGCUCAGUUGGUUAGAGCGCGGCACUCAUAAUGCCGAUGUCGCUAGUUCGAAUCUAGCCGUAGCCA